UACGAAGGGGGCGAGCGUUGUUCGGAAUUACCGGGCGUAAAGGGCGCGCAGGCGGCCGGUCAAGUCAGAUGUGAAAGCCCCGGGCUCAACCUGGGAAUGGCAUUAGGGACUGAUCGGCUGGAGAUCGGGAGAGGAGGGUGGAAUUCCCAGUGUAGAGGUGAAAUUCGUAGAUAUUGGGAAGAACACCGGUGGCGAAGGCGGCUCUCUGGUCUGUAACUGACGCUGAGGCGCGAAAGCGUGGGGAG
rnacentral:rRNA from 1 species